CUUGUGACGUAUAACCGGCAGCUGAGCUGGCAUUUUUGUGUCUGCAAGCUUCGGCCCGGCUGCCGCCGCCCAUAAGCUACCGGGAGGAGCUUUACGACUUCCCCGCCUGCAGGGCCGGGCGUAGCAAAGACCAGACGCGUCACGAGCAGGCGCUGCGCCCCAACCGGCCGGCUCCUGGCGGGCCCGUUGCGGAGAAGCUCCUCAAUGGCCAGCGGCAGCUGCAGCCUCCGCCGUGCACUCGUCUUACCUGAUCCCGGGAUGGUGAUUGCUCACGCCAAAGCCCUUGGACCCCUCCCGGCCUGUGACCUUUGUGACCAACUCCAACUAUGCAGCGGACAAAGGGGCUCCGUAUGUGGAUGUGAUCUGUGUGAACAGCUGCUACUCUUGAUAUCAUGACUACAGGCACCUGGAAUUGAUUCAGCUGCAGCUGGCCACCCAGUUUGAGAAGUGGUGAAGAUGUUUCAGAAACCCAUUAUUCAGAGCAAGUACAGAGCGGAAAUGAUUGCAGGGUUUCAUUAGGUAAGUGCUAUUGAACUUUCUGCUUAUGUGUUAUCUCGGGACAGAGAUGUCACUCGCCUCCCCCGGCCUGCCCUGCGCCCACUGCACUGUUCCCCUCUCUUCAGCUUUGGGCUCACCUCCCUCUGUCCCGUCCAUAUUCCCUUCCUGCCAGCAG